GAAGCUAUUCUCUCUCCCUUCUGAAAGGGAUAAUCUCUCUCCCUCUAAAAGACAACCAUUUUGCUUACAAAUUGACCAAAAACAAAAUGAUCUUUUUUCUUUCAUUUUUUGUGGGAUAUUUUUGUUUAUCCCAUGGGCAAACAACACCAGAUCUAAUGGGAUCAACCACUGAACCAAUGUUUGGGGAGGAAUUGGGUUCUGGAUUCUCACCUUUUCCAGUCUCACUUCCAGUAGUUAUUGGACUGCGGUUGUCUGUCAAAUCCUCAGUUGAACUUAAUUCUGUGACAAUUGAACGAUUUCUGCAACAGAUCAUGAAUUCAUUUCAGCUAUUUAAUGGAACCUUUGAAAUCGCUGUGAAAAAUAUAACACGUAUCACACCAGACUAAACCAUAAUAACAACAGGAUCACAACACAACAUUUGUAAUUUGUGCAGUCAUGUGAAUGAUAUUGUAAUUUUGUUUUAGCCAUUUUGUAUGCUCUGAUUAUUUUUUAUUUAUAUUAACAUGUACUACUGCAAAAAAUAUGCUACUGGCUAUAUGUUUAAAUUAAUUAAUUCAUAGUAAAGGCUGCCCCAAAAUGACUAAUGUAUAAAUUCAGUUAGUUUAUGACCCACAAUUUUUUGUGUAAUAGGACAUGAUAUAGCCUUAUAUAUGCCAUAGACUGUAAUGACACUUAUAUAGUUGUAUAGAUAUUGUUGUUUUUUGUAUUAGCUAUUGUAUUGUUGUACUCAGAGUAUUCUAGCUGCCAACUGUGGUAUGCUAGUUUGGAAGUUGAUGUAUUCUUCAAGGGUUCCGAUUAUAUCUGUAUGGUUACACUAGGACUCGGAACUGUACUGUCCUCUCAGGUCCUCUUCACACUUGUACUUGUGUUUGAUCUGCACUUCGUUGUACGUCGCUCUAGAUAAGAGCGUCUGCUAAAUGCCAUGCAAUGUAAUGUAAUGUAAUAUAAAAAUAUGUGUAAAAUGGACAGAUUCAAUGAUUAUAUGAAACUUUAGACUGUAUAAUGUCUACAUUGCACUUGUUAUGAACAUAGCUCUUUUCUUUCUUUCUAUUUCUGUGGCCGCAAAAAUAGAAUGUGAAGAAUCAUGAUGACUACA